AUUGAACGCUGGCGGCAUGCCUUACACAUGCAAGUCGAACGGCAGCGGGCCUUCGGGUGCCGGCGAGUGGCGAACGGGUGAGUAAUGCAUCGGAACGUGCCAUUGAGUGGGGGAUAACGUAGCGAAAGUUGCGCUAAUACCGCAUAUUCUGUGAGCAGGAAAGCAGGGGACCGCAAGGCCUUGCGCUCUUUGAGCGGCCGAUGUCAGAUUAGCUAGUUGGUGAGGUAAAGGCUUACCAAGGCGACGAUCUGUAGCGGGUCUGAGAGGAUGAUCCGCCACACUGGGACUGAGACACGGCCCAGACUCCUACGGGAGGCAGCAGUGGGGAAUUUUGGACAAUGGGCGGAAGCCUGAUCCAGCCAUGCCGCGUGAGUGAAGAAGGCCU
rnacentral:rRNA from 1 species